CUGCGGGCUAGAUUGGGGGGUCAGCGGACCCCUGUUGCCGGAAAUCCGCUUUACGCCGGAAUCGAAGCUUGAGAAGAGGGGCACUUGGUCCAGGAAUACAGCCAUUGUUGUAGCGUUGACCUUCUGUACCCUUAGGUUUUUUGCUGGAAUGAAACCCGCCAGGUUCGGAAGAAAGCAACGGUAGUUUCUUCAAGAAAUGCUUUGGGAGCGCGGAAGCGAGUGAAAGCAAUGCCACUGUUUUUUGGAUCUUGCUUCCAUUUUCAAGCGUGCCCGCAC
rnacentral:SRP_RNA from 1 species